rnacentral:rRNA from 3 species
GGGUCAGUAGGUUGGUCGUGCCACCGGUACGUACUGGUCUCACUGAUUCCUCCUUCCUGAAGAACCGUAAUGCCAUUAAUUUGGUGUUGCGGGGAAACAGGACUGUUACUUUGAAAAAAUUAGAGUGUUUAAAGCAAGCUAACGCUUGAAUACAUUAGCAUGGAAUAAUGAAAUAGGACGAUCGAUCCUAUUUUGUUGGUUUCUAGGAUUGACGUA